rnacentral:rRNA from 1 species
AGCAGCCGCGGUAAUUCCAGCUCCAAUAGCGUAUAUUAAAGUUGUUGCAGUUAAAAAGCUCGUAGUUGAAUUUCGGGAUCAGUACGCUGGUCGUGCCUCCGGUAUGAACUGGUGUCACUGGUUCCUCCCUUCUGAAGAACUAUCAUGCCAUUCACUUGGUGUGGUGGGAAAUCAGGACUGUUACUUUGAAAAAAUUGAGUGUUUAAAGCAGGCUCACGCUUGAAUACAUUAGCAUGGAAUAAUGAAAUAGGACGUUGAUCCUAUUUUGUGGUUUCUAGGAUUGACGUAAUGAUUAAUAGGGAUAGUUGGGGGCAUUAGUAUUCAAUUGUCAGAGGUGAAAUUCUUGGAUUUAUUGAAGACUAACUACUGCGAAAGCAUUUGCCAAGGAUGUUUUCAUUAAUCAAGAACGAAGUUAGGGAUCGAAGACGAUCAGAUACGUCGUAGUCUUAACCAUAACUAUGCCGACUAGGGAUCGGAUGAUGUUAAUUUUUUAAUGUACUUCAUUC